AUUGAACGCUGGCGGCAGGCCUAACACAUGCAAGUCGAACGAGUGGCGGACGGGUGAGUAAUGUCUGGGACACUGCCUGAUGGAGGGGGAUAACUACUGGAAACGGUAGCUAAUACCGCAUACCAUCAGAUGUGCCCAGAUGGGAUUAGCUGGUUGGUGGGGUAACGGCUCACCAAGGCGACGAUCCCUAGCUGGUCUGAGAGGAUGACCGGCCACAAGGGAACGGGGACAGGGUCAAGAGGCGUACGGGAGGAGGCGGUGGGGAAGAUGGCAGAAUGGGGGAAAGCCGGAUGCAGGCAUGCGGGGUGGAUGAAGAGGGCCUGCGGGGUGUAAAGGACUUGCAGCGGGGAGGCGUUACCCGCAGAGGAAGCACCGGCGAACUCCGUGCCAGCAGCCGCGGUAAUAC
rnacentral:rRNA from 1 species